rnacentral:rRNA from 1 species
AUGACGAACCCAUCGCCGGCGCCAGCCAAGGGGGCGUCGCUCUGGGGCAGCCAGCUGAAGCAGCUGCGCUCCCUCUUCGACCGCUUCGACAUGGACGGCGACGGCAGCCUCACCCAGCUCGAGCUGGCGGCCCUCCUCCGCUCCCUCGGCCUACGCCCCACGGGCGACGAGUCGCGCGCGCUGCUCCUCGCCAUCGACGCCGACGGCAGCGGCACCGUGGAGUUCGACGAGCUGGCGCGCGCCAUCGCGCCGGUCCUCACCGCCCACGCGCCGCGGCUCGUCGACCAGGCGCAGCUGCUCGAGGUCUUCCGCGCCUUCGACCGCGACGGCAACGGCUACAUCUCCGCCGCCGAGCUCGCGCGCUCCAUGGCCAAGCUGGGCCAGCCGCUCACCUUCGAGGAGCUGCGGACCAUGAUGCGGGACGCGGACGCGGACGGGGACGGCGUGAUUAGCUUCGGGGAGUUCGCCGCCGUCAUGGCCCGGUCCGCGCUCGACUUCCUCGGAGUCCCCGCCGCCUAA